AUGUCUCCGGUGAAGGUGUUCGGGCAUCCGAUGUUGACAAACGUCGCACGGGUGAUGCUCUUCCUGGAGGAGGUCGGCGCCGAGUACGAGCUCGUGCCCAUCGACUUCGUCGCCGGCGAGCACAAGAGGUCCCAACACGUCCAGCUAAACGUAAGCAGACGACAAUUCGUCGAUCGGUCACCGUAUCAGGUUCAGGUGAUGAUUUUUGACAGAGAUGCUACGUGUUUUUCUUCCUUGCAGCCGUUCGCGAAGAUGCCUGGGUUCCAAGAUGGCGAUCUCGUCCUGUUCGAGUCGCGCGCCAUCGCCAAGUACAUCCUCCGCAAGUACGGGGGGACAGCCGGCCUGGACCUCCUCGGAGAAAACAGCGGAAUCGAAGAAUUAGCAGUGGUGGACAUGUGGACGGAGGUGGAGGCCCAGCAGUACUACCCGGCCAUCUCGCCGGUGGUGUUCGAGUGCAUCAUCAUUCCCUUCAUCAUCCCUGGCGGUGGCGCGACGCCGAACCGGAGCGUCGUGGACGAGAGCCUGGAGCGGCUGAGGGGUGUGCUGGGGAUCUACGAGGCCCGGCUGGAGAAGAGCAGCUACUUGGCCGGGGACUCCAUCAGCUUCGCCGAUCUGAACCACAUCCCAUUCACCUUCUACUUCAUGACCACCCCGUACGCCAAGGUGUUUGAUGAGUACCCCAAGGUGAAGGCCUGGUGGGAGAUGCUCAUGGCCAGGCCGGCGGUGCAGAGGGUCUGCAAGCAUAUGCCUACCGAGUUUAAGCUAGGUGCGCAGUACUAG
rnacentral:rRNA from 1 species